CACAGUUAUAGAAGUGCAAUUGUUAGUGUUACCUAGAUAUUUCUUUCCUUCUUUUCAGGCAUUAAAGUAGCAAAAUGGGCAUCUAUUGGCCCUGACUUCAGAAGAUGAACAAAGAAGGGCAGAAAGAGAACCACAAUCCUACACACAGGAGAUUUUGAAGUUUCACAAGACAGAAUCUACAUAUAAGAAUGGAUUUAACCCAGAAAUUAUUGCCUGUUAAGAAGCACCCCGCAACAACAAAAAAAGAAAACCAUAAACAAACAAUCAAAAACAAACUUAAACUACAGACCAAGUAAUGGUUUUCUAACACAAAAGAAGACAUGAAUGAAUUCUGAAUCGUCAGCAAUAUUAUGCGUGUGUGAGUUUGGGAUCCACAGAAGCAGAUUCUGAGACGAAGAUUAGUGUGCAAGUGAGCCUAAAGAGUGGAGAAAUGAGGAAAGGAAAUGAGACGGAACCAACCAGUGGUAA